rnacentral:lncRNA from 1 species
UUCAAAAGUGCAAGGGCUUUUUCUGCACUAUAUUAAAGCUCCACUCUUCUCCCAUGUCAAGCCCGGAGAACCCUAGUUUUCACUUGGCCGCCGCACCCCUUUACUGCUAUUAGCAUAGUAAUACUGGUAUGUGAAUGCCCCGUUGUUAUCCUUAUGAUUAUUUUGUUUUUUCUUACCGUUUACUUGUUGAGUUAUUUUAUUGUUUUCAUUAUGCAGGGUUGCUAACUUGCUAUGUUGAGUGUUUGAUUGUCUGUUAAGGCUGCUAAAAUGUUCUCGUGUUAUCAUAUAUAAAUUUUUCUGUGCAAAUUUAAGCCAAAUCUGGUUGUGCUAGCCACAAACUUUUUUAUCAUUUCUUAAGAUUUGUUGAACUCCAAAUUGCGUUGAUAUAUCGAAUAUUUUGAUCCUUUUUGUAAAAGUUGGAGUGUUUUUUUAAAAUAUAUGUAAUACAUUUUUCAGGAACUUGCUUUCUUUAUUUUUCAGCAUUUUACAUGGUUGUGGGUUGCAGAGGUUUUUGUGUGAAACACGGGAGGCGAGUAUACAUGCUCUUUUGAUGGAAUCAAUUAUCAAAUAAGGGCAACAGCAGUUUGAUAUUUAAUGAACGCUUUAUGUUUCAAAUAAAACCUUCUGCGAUCCAUAACCAUGUUAAUUUUGGGACUAGAAUUUUCUUGUCCUCAAGUGUUGUAGAAUAAGAAAGCAAGGUUUCAGAUGUUUGUAUAAUAUUUGCAGCGUAGUUGAAGUAUAAGAUCCAUGCAUUGUUCGGAUUAACUACGAUGUAUCAAGC